rnacentral:rRNA from 1 species
ACUCCUACGGGAGGCAGCAGUGGGAAUAUUGCGCAAUGGGCGGAAGCCUGACGCAGCGACGCCGCGUGGGGAUGGACGGCCUCGGGCUUGUAAACCUCUUUCGCCAGGGACGAAUGUGGACGGUACCUGGAGAAGAAGCACCGGCCAACUACGUGCCAGCAGCCGCGGUAACACGUAGGGUGCGAGCGUUGUCCGGAAUUAUUGGGCGUAAAGAGCUCGUAGGCGGUGUGUCGCGUCGGCCGUGAAAACUUGGGCUUAACUCUGAGCUUGCGGUCGAUACGGGCAUCACUGGAGUUCGGCAGGGGAGACUGGAAUUCCUGGUGUAGCGGUGAAAUGCGCAGAUAUCAGGAGGAACACCGGUGGCGAAGGCGGGUCUCUGGGCCGAUACUGACGCUGAGGAGCGAAAGCGUGGGGAGCGAACAGGAUUAGAUACCCUGGUAGGCUCUGC